GUCAGCUCAUCGCGCCUCCACCGCCGCUCUAGCCGCACCGCUCCGCCAAACUCCACUGGGCACCCGCCGCCAGCCCGACAUUACAUGGCCAGGAAAGCAGGAGUGUCAGGCCUUCUCUGCUACACUUGCAGCGGCCGCCACGGCUUGCUUCCUUGCUCUUACCUAUUUCGUUCAGCUGUAGUAAGGCCAGCCCGGACAGCGUAAAUCAAAUCGGAAUCAGAGGGAUUUUUUGUGAUGGAUGUGCGAAUUAAGGAUUUACCAAGCUACUAACGAUCCAUCAGCUUCAAGCCGGAUCGGUUUGGGGUUGAGCCUCUCGUGAAAACUGAGACCACG
rnacentral:lncRNA from 1 species